rnacentral:rRNA from 1 species
UCGGCUAUCUCCUCUAUCUUUCUUUUAUGUACACAGGUAUGUACCUCGUGCCCGAGAGCGGAGGAGAGAGUGAGCGGCGGCGGUGGUGGGUGUAGCCGGCGAAGAGGCCACUGGAGGCCGCGGCACGUCGUGCGGGGGCUCGAGGGGUGCCAGGUGCGGUGGGAGGGGAGGCCGGUCUCAGAGACGAGGGCAGGAGAUGGCGGGCGAGCGUUCGGUUAGGGGGUACCGAUCCCAAAGCCCCCUAUUUGUUCCCCUCCAUAUCGUCCCGCAACCUUUAAACGCCCUCACCCCCUCUAGCUACUCCUGCUCCUGACAGACCACGUGACGACCACGCCCCUCCCGUCCCCUCUCCCUACCGACAACGCGACGAUAAUCGACGUAUAUCAUAACGAGGAAAGGACAACAAACAACUAACUACGACGACGACGAUGAUGAAACUACGUCAACGACGAUUAAACUACACCUCCUGCACGUCCCUGCCUGCUGUUCGCUCGUCUCUAAAUAGGCCCUGGAUUUAAACCGUCCGUUUACCCACUCGAGGGUGUAGGGAGAGCCAGAGGAAACUAAACAACGUCUAAAGAAGCUUCGGGUACUGGAGAGAACCCGGAACCGUCACCGCUCGAUCCACGGCCGCUCCAUCCGCUGUAGCAGUUGCUCCCGGUAGUACCGGAGGUGGAUACGGGAGAACGUCCACCUGACGACCAGUAGCCACGUCGCCCAGCCCGAGAACGUCGUUGUAGAUACUAUAAGAGACCUGCUCGACGUCCAUCCGGUCAUCUACUCCUAAGCUGCCGGUGGUGGCUCCAUACUGGAGGAGAGGAACGGGAACCCGACCGUAGAGACUAGUCCAACAUUAGACGACGACAUCACAACGAGAAACCCCUAAGGAUACCCUAGAUAAAAACUAACCAGUUUCGACCAUACAACCGGUGACCAACCAAAUUGUACUACGAUAUUACGCGAUGUCUCUCUAUACAAUAAGAUCAUGUUCACAGGCCAGUCAAUUAAACUCCUAAAAACGGAAAACAAGAAGUCCGGAUAUCGAAACACCAAAGUCAGGUUGUCAAUUUUCAACCUAACCGAACAUUUUUAAAUACACUGACCUGCUCAUCCACUCCUACUAGAGUAUACCUUUUAUGACGAGGUACCAUAAUUUUAGACAAUAUCCACAACCUUCAGUUACGAUCCUCGAGGACCCUAGACGAGUACGUACAAACCAGCCUUGAAAAGAAAACUUAGUUAACUACUUGGCUACCGUAGUCUAUACGGCAUACACAUGAGGUGAUGCAUGCUGGCCCACUUUUGUUCAAACUAGCUACCUCUACCUAAAGAUAGGACAACCACGUUAACAUACAAGUCCACCAAGAAAGUACAGGCAAGAGAGAUCGAAGAACUACAAAAGAAAGAGUCCACAUUAAAUCAACGGUAAACAUUAUCGGUUUAAAAGUACAGUUUGUACUAAAUUUCUAAAAG